CAGGAAUAUACCAUCUUGCACUGCUCAGGACCAGCAAUUAGGUGAUUGCACGCUAUGUCUGAUGGAGGUGGGUAGGAAUUCACAGAUUCCCUGGCUGAAGCACAGCUCUACCGCAACCAGCGUCAUACCUGGCGUGGGAGACAAUCGCAUAGUGUGAGGACCUUGUCAAUGAGGAGGAAUGGGGGAAAGGCAUAGAGGAGUUGACCUGACCAUGACACGAAAGCAUCUGAGAUCGCAUUCCUCCCCACCCAUCCUCUCAAACAGAAUCGGUGGCAAUGCCAGUUCUGUCAGGUCGCAAACAAGUCUACUUGGGGAGUGCCCCACGCUCAGAAGAGCUGGUCCUUGCUAUCAAAGGGAAGAUCCUGCAUCACAGACUGUGCUUCCGUGGAGAGCCUGGACAGCAGUAGCCACAAUGCCCUGUGCAUGGACACCACCGAGGCCAUGGACCGAGUAGCUAUGUCAGUUGCUGCCAACAGAGCAGCCUUUGCAGCAGUGGCACCCUCCUCAAUGAGUGCCUUAAAUUCCUUCCUUUCACGUUCUGGGUUCAAAUUUCAGCAGUGAUCCCCCACAAGUUUAAACUCAUUAAGGAGGGCUUGGUGGUUGGCCACCAGGAGCUGGAAACUGGACAAUGAAUAAAGUUUCCUACCAAAUGAGUCCAGCCUUAUAGAGUCCUUAUUCUUGGGUGUGGGUCCUGGUUGACCCUGUCUCUCCCUAUGAUUUACAGACUCCACCACUAGGGAGUGGGGGGCCGAGUGGGUAUAGAGAUACUUGUGCCCUUUCGUGGGCACAAAAUAUUUGUGCUCUGCCUUCUUUGAUAUUGGCACAAGGGAGGCUGACGUUUACCAGAGGGCAUUGGAAAUGUUAGCCACCCCUUCAUGCAGCAGCAGGGCCACUCUGCUUGGUGCCGAAGGCGAGAGGACAUUGAAGAGCGAG